AAUAAAGUAAGCUAAGUAUAAGCUGUUGGGUUCAUACCUCAAAAAUGGAUUUAAAUUGUCCCUUUAUUA
rnacentral:tRNA from 1 species